rnacentral:lncRNA from 1 species
UGUCUAGUCGUAAUGCACUAUAUGUCAUAAACACCCUACUUUUAAAUUUUAAUUGGUAGUCAUAUUCAACAUUUUUGUAUUAAUUAUUUGAACAUUUAUUUUAUAUUAGUAUUGAUGCCUUUUCAAAUAACAUGCUGCCGAGCAAGGUAAGGGCUGCAACAUAUCUUAUAAUCAUAAUGUAGUGCUCUCCUAAAACAAGAAGAUAGAAAUAGCCGACAAAAAAUAAACAAAAAUCACGUCAUUCUUACCGACGUACAUUUUAGCUUAGUUUAGGUUUAAACGCCGUGUUUCAACACUAUUUCAGUCAUAUACACGCAGUCAGUUUACCAUACCAUCUCUCUAGGAAAGGACCGGUACUCACAUUUCUCACAUAAAGAUUCAUGGUCGACCCGGAGCCCUUUUCAAACUUGGUCAUGCAUUGAAUGAUGACCAGUGGCAUACUGUGUAUGUGAAGAGAAGAGGAAAGAAGUUAGAGUUGAGAAUUGACAACAGUCGCCCCAUUGAAGAUGUAAUUCCACAUAUAGCACCAACUGUACACGUGAAGCAGAUGGUACUG